CCCGUGUAUCGCUUGUGUAUCUACGAGGCUAAUCCUCAUAUUGUUCCCAGAGUUCCCAUACUUUAUUAAAGGUGGCGGUCAUGUUACGGACCUGUGCUGUUAGCUUGUCCAUGAGAUAGUUGUCCCUGAUUUUCGUUAGUACCAUGGAUAUGUGUGGUAACUCUAGGCUUGCCCAUUUUUGUGUUAGUGCCCGUCCUGCUGCUAGAUAUAGCAUGUUUAAUAAUUUUUGUGUCUAUUAAG